rnacentral:rRNA from 1 species
AUAAUGGGUCAGCGACUUAUAUUCUGUAGCAAGGUUAACCGAAUAGGGGAGCCGAAGGGAAACCGAGUCUUAACUGGGCGUUAAGUUGCAGGGUAUAGACCCGAAACCCGGUGAUCUAGCCAUGGGCAGGUUGAAGGUUGGGUAACACUAACUGGAGGACCGAACCGACUAAUGUUGAAAAAUUAGCGGAUGACUUGUGGCUGGGGGUGAAAGGCCAAUCAAACCGGGAGAUAGCUGGUUCUCCCCGAAAGCUAUUUAGGUAGCGCCUCGUGAAUUCAUCUCCGGGGGUAGAGCACUGUUUCGGCAAGGGGGU